AUGGAAGAACAGAUUGCGGCACUCGCCAAAGCGGUCAACGACGGGCGCGUCGCCAACGACGCUCGCCUCGACGCGAUCCAGCAGUCGCUCGAGUUGUGGCGGCCGGCGGUGACCAACCUGCAGCAGCAGCUGGAUGAGCUGCGGACGCAAGUCGGCCGGAUCGCCCUUCAUCCGGUGCUCGCGUUGUCUCCGGCGACCCAGGAGGGCGCGGUGGUGCGGCCAGCGGGCGUCAACUCCGUCGACAUCCGCGGGCACCACGGGCCAAGUGGCCACGGCGAGGUCAUCGAUUCCGGGGGCUCGGCUCAUGGGGUGGUCACCACCCUGACGUCGCCUCCGGGCAAGGGUGCGUUACUCGAUGUCACAUCCCCUUCUCCGCCUCUUGUCAGUCUGCAUCGGGAUUUUGAGCACGGCUCGCACCACACUUCGCACUUCAAUUGGGCCCUUCCUAAACUGGAUUUUCCCCAGUUUGAAGGAGAGAAUCCUCAAUUCUGGAAUCAUGAGUAUACGUUAACAUGUAGUAUGAUAAUACCAAUGACAUAG
rnacentral:rRNA from 1 species